UACAGAGGUCCCAAGCGUUGUUCGGAUUCAUUGGGCGUAAGGGUGCGUAGGUGGCGCCGUAAGUCAGGUGUGAAAUCUCGGGGCUUAAACUCCGAACUGCAUUUGAUACUGCGGUGCUUGAGGACUGGAGAGGAGACUGGAAUUUACGGUGUAGCAGUGAAAAUGCGUAGAGAUCGAUAGGAAGACCAGUGGCGAAGCGGG
rnacentral:rRNA from 1 species